rnacentral:lncRNA from 1 species
AGUUCAUAUCUGACCUCCCCAGCCAAAAGUAAUCUCUCUUCUCCAGACUUCUACGUCCAGUAUCUGGAACUUGCAUUUGAGACUUACUAUUCCUGACUGGCUUUAUUAUUUGCUUAGUCAUUGUGGUGGUGGUUCUUGCUUUUUGUGCAUUUUAUCUCCAGUCCCAAAGAUUUUAAGUUUAUUAGGCAUAAGGACCAUGUCGUAUAUCUCCUUGUAUUUUCCCUGACCAUUCAAGGGCCUAGCAUAACAUUUACUUGCAUUUGGAAGUGUGGAAAUAAAUGAAGACCAACCAAAUAAGAAUAAGCACAGGCUGUUUAUUCAGAGCUACUAUCGUUUGUGUUUUGGCAGAGACUCAAAUGCGGGCAGAGGAGUGGGAAAACUUCAUAGUAGAAAAAAGGGAGGCUCCAGACUCCAAGAUGAUGAUUAAGGUGGGCCCUAAUCCAAUCUGACUGGUGUCCUCGUAAGAAGAGAAGAUGAGGACACAGACAAACACAGAGGGAAGACUGUGUGAGGGCACAGGGAGAAAAUGACUCUCUACAACAAGGAGAGAGGCUUCAGAAUAAACCAAUUCUGCUGACACCUCUCAAACUUCUAGCCUCCAGAAGAGUGAGGAAAUCCAUUUCUG